rnacentral:rRNA from 1 species
ACGAACGCUGGCGGCGUGCUUAACACAUGCCAGUCGCACGGAAAGGCCCUGCUUUUGUGGGGUGCUCGAGUGGCGAACGGGUGAGUAACACGUGAGUAACCUGCCCUUGACUUUGGGAUAACUUCAGGAAACUGGGGCUAAUACCGGAUAGGAGCUCCUGCUGCAUGGUGGGGGUUGGAAAGUUUCGGCGGUUGGGGAUGGACUCGCGGUUUAUCAGCUUGUUGGUGGGGUAGUGGCUUACCAAGGCUUUGACGGGUAGCCGGCCUGAGAGGGUGACCGGCCACAUUGGGACUGAGAUACGGCCCAGACUCCUACGGGAGGCAGCAGUGGGGAAUAUUGCACAAUGGGCGGAAGCCUGAGGCAGCAACGCCGCGUGCGGGAUGACGGCCUUCGGGUUGUAAACCGCUUUCGCCUGUGACGAAGCGUGAGUGACGGUAAUGGGUAAAGAAGCACCGGCUAACUACGUG